rnacentral:lncRNA from 1 species
UAAUAACUUAGGCAUGUUUACUGCAAAUCACAAGCUAUUGGCUUCUUUGGGAGCAUUUGGGUACUUUAGAAAAAUUAUUUGAACAUCUAAAGUCUGGACCCUUGUAAAGCAGAGUAUCCAUUAUAUAAUCUUUUUUAAGAAGUUCAAUUUUCUUUUCACUAAUAUCUAUGUUAAUCCUCAUGAUGCAGAACUGAAAACUCUUUAAAAUUAUAUUAAGGAUAUUACAAUAAAUUCUUAUGGUCCUUAGAUUCUAGUUGGGGACUUCAAUGAUAUUGCAUCCAUCUUAAUUAACAUGGAGGGUGUAUCUAGUGUCAAAGCAAGGCUCACUCCUUCCUCUCUCAGAUGGAGGAAUGUGGUCUUAAAUUUAAGACUUCAAGGGUCUCUGUUUUUAAUUGGACUAGGGCUACUAGAGUUCGCCUUAAUAGUGUUAUAAACUUAUUAGGUCAAUUAUUUACAUCCAAAUGGGAUCUUACUCACUGCUAGUCAAUCAUUACCUAUUAAGUUA